rnacentral:rRNA from 1 species
UACGUAGGGUGCAAGCGUUGUCCGGAAUUAUUGGGCGUAAAGAGCUCGUAGGCGGUCUGUCGCGUCUGCUGUGAAAACUCAGGGCUUAACCCUGAGCUUGCAGUGGGUACGGGCAGACUAGAGUGCGGUAGGGGAGACUGGAAUUCCUGGUGUAGCGGUGAAAUGCGCAGAUAUCAGGAGGAACACCGGUGGCGAAGGCGGGUCUCUGGGCCGUAACUGACGCUGGGGAGCGAAAGCAUGGGGAGCGAACAGG